GCUCUCCUGGCUCCCGCUGCUUUGGGGCACCCAGGGUUUGGAGGUGGGGGACAGUGGUGGAAGGGCACUGUCAGCCAGGCAGCAGUGUUGGGAUUGAAGGGGGAUGAUGUGCCCCCUCCCCAGGGCAGUGGCCACAAUUGCAGCCGGCCUGGGAGCUUGCUUGGGGCAAAGAGGGAGACACUGUCCCUCCAGGGACAGCCUCAUCUUCCCAGAGCAGCUGCUGCAGGAACAGCAGAAGAUGAGGAGCAUGCCACUCCUGCACACUUGUCCUGGGCUCACCCACAGGACAGCUGCCAAGCAGGACACCUGUCCCCCAACAUCUCUGCCUUGUGGUGACACUGUUCACCACAACCAUCGUCUCACAAGGUCAUCCCCACUGCCGGCACCCAGCCCAGUGUGUGUCUCUGCUCCCCCAAAACACCUGGACUGUGUCACAGGCAGCACACAAAGCAGCAUCCCCGUCUGGACUGUGGCUACUGAGAGCCAGCAGCAACAGCCAGGGACGGGCACAUCCCCAACCUUACCAGUGACAGAGUCCCUCGUGCUGGGAUGGAGACUCAGAGAGAGCAUCAGUGCCAACAGCAGGCACUCAGUGAGGCACUCAGUGAGGCCCCCAGUGGCUGCCACUGCUGUGAAACAGAAGUGCCAUUUCACGUUUUUUGGCAGGGCUGGAAGCAACACAGAUGGAGGCACCCGCACUGGCCUCCUGGCAUGCCUUGGCAGCCCCCAGCUCUGUGGCACCAGCCCCAGGUGAUAGCACUACCUCCCAGAUGUGCAGCAGGGAAAGCCCUGGGCCCUGUGGCUGAUGCUUCCUGCCUCCUUUCAGCUCCCUGACAUCCAGUCACUGCCUGCCAGGAUACCGACCCCAUUCCUGCCAGGCUUUGGACUGGAUGGGAGUGCCUGGUGGUUCCCACCUCCAGCUGCCCGGGGUCCCUGCAGAGCAUGGGCAGGAUGUGCUGCACCGCAAGCCACUUGCACACACACAGGGUGAUUUUCCACCAUAAAACCACUUGAAUCAUCAGUGACUGCAGGCAAAGCUCUCACCUCCAUCACAGCACCUGGACUAGGCUCCCGAAUUUCCACAGGGGUGCAGAGCUUAGGGGCAGUAUCCAGAUGUGGAGCUAGGGCAUGGCAGGGACUGGUGAGCUCCCAGAGCAUUGCCCAAGCGUGGGUGAUGCAGCACAACCUCUACUGUCUGCCCCACGGCAGCUGGGUCUGAUGCUGUGCCUCCUACCCAGCUCCAUAUCCACUGGGGGGGUGCAUGGCUGGCCUCCAGCCCUUGCAUCAUCCCCAAGGUGUCCCAGUUCAGGGGCUGCUGCCCAGGUUUAAGGAGCCAGGGCAGGAAGAACACCCUGCUUCCCACCCACACAGCCCCUUCUUUCCGGUGGAGUUGGCUUUGUGUUGGACAAAAGGCUGCAAAGGAAGCAAGAAAGGAGAUUACGUGGCUGCUAAAAAACGAAUAAGGAAGGUGGGAUGAGAGCCAGGGGAAGGAGGGUGCUCAUCUGGCUCACCAGGGGGAAUGCUACAUGCAAUGGCAGGGGAUGAAGGGGGGUCUCUUAUGCAGCCCAUUGCCAACCCACUCACAUUCAGGUCCUUGGUACCUUCCCCUGCUACUCAGGGAUGCGUGACAAGCAGCACCCUUGGGGACCCAGAGACUAGAGCUAUCCCAAGGAGAUGCAGAGCCCAGAGCCACAGCAUUGCCCUGUCCCACCCACAGGCCAGCUAUGUUGGCACAAAUCCAGCCCUCCUCCUGCCUGGGAUGGGCAGAUGGUCCUUCCCACACCCCAAAUCCCAGGCAGCCCCACACAGCUCCCCCUCACCCCAUAGCCAAGUCAAUUAGCUCCCCCAGGUGUGAGGCAUUGUACAGAUACAGGUGUGGGAUAUGUGGGGCCAUUCCACAUAUGGUGACCCCUUUCCAGCCUCUCCCCAGCAGCCUGCCAGGCUGGAAACCCUCCUGGAGCGCUGCACCGGUGCCACUCACAUCCCACACAGCCCAUCUGCUCCUCUUGUCGCUCACCCCCGGCCCCGCGCGUGCCACGGUCUGCCUGUCCCUGCCCACGGGCAGUGGCACGUGGGCUCAGCAACGGGAAAAGCAGGCCACAUCUCAGCGUGGGCCUCUUGCCUAUUUUCCCAGGCACUUUUCACAGGAGCAGAAGCUUUCACAUGAAAAAGUUCAAGCUGGUUCCCCAGCAAAAGCCUGAAUAAAAGAAUUGCCUUGCCAGGAGAGCAGGUA